rnacentral:rRNA from 1 species
UUAACUGUAGAACUGGCAUUUGAAACCUUCCCAGACGAGAAAUAACUGGAAGGGGGGCAGAUGGAAUUAGUGGGUGUAGGGGGUAAAAUCCGGUAGAUAUCACUAGGAAUACCGAAAGCGAAAGCGAUCUGCUGGGAAGUUAUUGACGCUGAGGCACGAAAGCGUGGGGAGCAAACGGGAUUAGAUACCCCGGUAGUCCACGCCCUAAACGAUGAAUGCUAGUCGUCGGAAAGCUCGUCUUUUCGGUGAUGCAGUUAACACAUUAAGCAUUCCGCCUGGGGAGUACGGUCGCAAGAUUAAAACUCAAAGGAAUAGACGGGGACCCGCACAAGUGGUGGAGCAUGUGGUUUAAUUCGAAGAUACGCGAAGAACCUUACCUAGCCUUGACAUUGAUAGAAUCUAGUAGAGAUACUGGAGUGCCUGCUUGCAGGAACUUGAAAACAGGUGCUGCACGGCUGUCGUCAGCUCGUGUCGUGAGAUGUUGGGUUAAGUCCCGCAACGAGCGCAACCCUCGUCGUUAGUUGCUAACAGUUCGGCUGAGCACUCUAGCGAGACUGCCUUCGCAAGGAGGAGGAAGGUGAGGACGACGUCAAGUCAUCAUGGCCCUUAUGGCUAGGGCUACACACGUGCUACAAUGGGGCGUACAGAGAGUUGCGAUACCGCGAGGUGGAGCUAAUCUCAUAAAGCGUCUCUCAGUUCGGA